rnacentral:rRNA from 1 species
UGACGGGUAACGGGGAAUUAGGGUUCGAUUCCGGAGAGGGAGCCUGAGAAACGGCUACCACAUCUAAGGAAGGCAGCAGGCGCGCAAAUUACCCAAUCCUAAUACAGGGAGGUAGUGACAAGAAAUAACAAUACAGGACUUUUUGGUUUUGUAAUUGGAAUGAGUUAAGUAUAAACCCCUUUACAAGUAUCAAUUGGAGGGCAAGUCUGGUGCCAGCAGCCGCGGUAAUUCCAGCUCCAAUAGCGUAUAUUAAAGUUGUUGCAGUUAAAAAGCUCGUAGUUGGAUUUCUGUUAAUAAUUUAUAUAUAAUAUUUGAUUAAUAUUUAUAUAAUAUUAACAUAAUUCAUAUUACUAAAUUAUUUAUUAGUAUAUGAAAUUUUACUUUGAGAAAAUUAGAGUGCUUAAAGCAGGCAUAUGCCUUGAAUACUCCAGCAUGGAAUAAUAUUAAAGAUUUUUAUCUUUCUUAUUGGUUCUAAGAUAAAAAUAAUGAUUAAUAGGG